rnacentral:lncRNA from 1 species
GUCCUUUGGAGGAACAGACCAUAGCUUUGUAAGUUUUAAUCUCCUGUGCCCAGCUCAGUGCAUGGCAGAAGGCAAUUGCCUGGUCUGUGGUGGAGGUGCUGGUUAUUUUUGGUGUAGAUGUUACCUUUAUCAUGGUAGGGAUGGGAGGCUCAGCCUGACCAAAACACCGGGCAGGGUACAGGAUGGCUGGGAAGCUGCUGAUAAGGCUCUGCCAGCAUUACAGCCCCAGCCCUGGUGAUCACCGUGAUCCCUGAUCGCCGUCGCACUGGCUGGUUCUGGGGGUCUGGGCGCUGGUCAUGCCGGUCGCGCCGGGUCUGGCCACCGGGUGGCACCCACGCUCCACAAAUGCUGCCACCGCGCUGGGCUCGGUCUCCGCUAGGCUCUGCUUGGGAACCAGGGGAGGCAGGGGCUGCAGGAGGUCCAGCGCUGCCCUAGUCCCAGCCCCUGGCUCUCUGAGCCAUGAGUUGACAUUCGUCCCCACUAGGCCUUCUUCCUCAAGCCUUUGUGUUUAUUCUGUUCCCUGCAGACCGAGUGAUGCCCCUUCUCCCAGGCGGCCUGUCUGCCCAUCAGGAGGCCCAGCGCGGCCAGACAGUGAGCCACGAGCACCCUCAGCCCUGGAGCCCGCCCAGUGGUGUUUACAGGAGGCCGGGUCUGGGAACACCUGUUGUCCAGGCAGCCUCCUGCUGUCCUGCCUCCCUACACCCAGCUCACCAUCAGAAAUGCCAUGUUUCUGCCUGUCCUCGUUAUGGCCAGCACUAACUGGCUUUUGCCCCCCGAGUAACACAUCAACUACAAGAAACAGAAUGUGUUGCAGCUCAGCUCAGCGGUUGAGCUGUUGA